ACCACUUUCGAAUCGCUUAGAUCAAGUGUAGUAUCUGUUCUUUAUAGUGUAACAACUAUAAGGCCUCGCACGCGGGGUCAACGCUGUUAACCACUUUUUUGACCAGCCCGCGUCGUGCCCUCUGAGCUCGCUCACGGCCCUCGCACGAUGACCUUGCCACUACACCCACGGCCUGCGUCGCCAGGGCAC
rnacentral:snRNA from 1 species